GAUAAACGCUGGCGGCGUGCCUUAUGCAUGCAAGUCGAACGAGGCUAGGGCUUCGGCCCGAAACCUAGUGGCGGACGGGUGAGUAACACGUACGUGACCUAUCCGGAAGUGGGGAAUAACCAGCCGAAAGGUUGGCUAAUACCGCAUGUGGUUACCCCUUGGAAGGGGCAAACCAAAGUCGCAAGACGCUUCCGGAGGGGCGUGCGGCCGAUUAGCUAGUUGGUGUGGUAACGGCGCACCAAGGCUGUGAUCGGUAGCUGGUCUGAGAGGAUGGUCAGCCACACUGGGACUGAGACACGGCCCAGACUCCUACGGGAGGCAGCAGCAGGGAAUUUUGCGCAAUGGGCGAAAGCCUGACGCAGCAACGCCGCGUGGGGGAUGAAGGCUCUCGGGUCGUAAACCCCUUUUGCCGGGGAAGAUAAUGACGGUACCCGGCGAAUAAGCCACGGCUAACUACGUGCCAGCAGCCGCGGUAAUACGUAGGUGGCAAGCGUUGUCCGGAUUUAUUGGGCGUAAAGAGCGCGCAGGCGGUGCGCCAAGUCCGAGGUGAAAUCUCCCGGCUCAACUGGGAGGGGUCUUCGGAUACUGGCGGACUCGAGGAGAGCAGAGGUGAGUGGAAUUCUGGGUGUAGUGGUGAAAUGCGUAGAUAUCCAGAGGAACACCAGCGGCGAAGGCGGCUCACUGGGCUCCACCUGACGCUGAGGCGCGAAAGCGUGGGGAGCGAACCGGAUUAGAUACCCGGGUAGUCCACGCUGUAAACGAUGGGCACUAGGUGUGGGGGGUAUUGACCCCCUCCGUGCCGAAGCUAACGCAAUAAGUGCCCCGCCUGGGGAGUACGGCCGCAAGGCUAA
rnacentral:rRNA from 1 species